GGGCCGUUAGCGAAGUGGUAACGCGCCUCCCUGGCAGGGAGGAGAUCACCGGUUCGAAUCCGGUACGGUCCA
rnacentral:tRNA from 1 species